rnacentral:tRNA from 1 species
GGAAACGUGCCUGACAAAAAGGGUUGUCUUGAUAUGACAAACAUAGAGGAAACUCCCAACCUCUCGGUUCCU